GCCCUCAUAGCUCAGAUGGAUAGAGCGUCUGCCUCCGGAGCAGAAGGCCGCAGGUUCGAAUCCUGUUGAGGGCACCA
rnacentral:tRNA from 1 species